CAACUUGGAGUGAUAGUAAACAACACUGCAUGGAUCUAGGGGGGCAUUUGGUGAUUAUUGACAGUGAGGAGGAACAGCUAUUUAUCUCAAGAUUAAUGGAGUUGAGUGCAUGGAUUGGUCUGACUGAUGUGGAGGGAACAUGGAAAUGGACAGAUGGCAAAUUGCUGAAAACUGGGUACUGGAGGAAGGGAGAGCCAAAUAACUCUCAUGGAAAUGAGCACUGUGUAGAGAUUGUCGAGCAGCCUAACAUCCAAAAUAACUGGAAUGACAACAUUUGUACUGAAAAACGCCCUUACAUUUGUGAACAAUCACAAUAGCAUGCAAGCGCGCGCUCACACACACAACCCCAAGGUGUCAGUUUGCUCCAUAGGGCAGCACAUCCGCAGACCAGUCAGGGUGCC